rnacentral:rRNA from 1 species
UACGUAGGGCGCAAGCGUUGUCCGGAAUUAUUGGGCGUAAAGAGCUCGUCGGCGGUCUGUUACGUCCGCUGUGAAAACCCAGGGCUUAACCCUGGGCUUGCAGUGGAUACGGGUAGACUAGAGGCAGGUAGGGGAGAAUGGAAUUCCCGGUGUAGCGGUGAAAUGCGCAGAUAUCGGGAGGAACACUGGUGGCGAAGGCGGUUCUCUGGGCCUGACCUGACGCUGAGGAGCGAAAGCGUGGGGAGCGAACAGG